rnacentral:hammerhead_ribozyme from 1 species
ACCUAGCUGACGAGUCCCAAAAUAGGACGAAACGCGCGUCCUGGAU